UUGUUCCAACAAUGGAGAAACAUCCGCUCCUUCACAAGUAUUCAGAAGUCUCUUUUCUCCGAACUUGAAUUCAAGACCCGCUCAUUAACUUCAUCUUCUCAGCUGGGUGUGCAAUUUUAGGUGGAAGAGGUGUUGUCCAUGGUUAACAUAUCCAGAUCCCCGGUCAUGUUUGUGGGAUGUGGUUAAUCGCACACACGGCAAAUUCAGUUUAGUUUUUCUCCCAAUUUUUUCUUAAUCUUCUCCUGGUUCUGUCAUAUUUUCCAAUUUAUGAGUUAAGUUCAAGUCUACUAUUGUUAUUGUUCUGCCUUAACUCUCUCUUUGAUGUUCUGCCACAUUCAUUGCUUUUUCUCGAAAUAGAGAAAUUGAAUAAUGGAAUCGAAAAUUAAUAGUUUCUUCAAUUCUUUUUCUUUUAUCCCCAAAAGUGUAGACUCAUCUAAAUUUUGCAGUGAUGAAUUCAACUAUAAGAGGGUAUGGAAAUAUGUUUUGCUUACAUACCAACGAAGACCUCGAAAUUCAUCUGGGUAUAAUGUAAAUUACUUCUUCUCCGUUUUCCAUCAUUGAAUUACUCUUUUUAUCUUCUUCUCAAGUGUUUGAUUGGUAGUAGAGAUGGACAACUCUUUCUUUUUUGUCUCUAUCGCAUAAAAAAUAGACUGCUGCCUUCUCUGGUGUCGGAAAGAGCUUGGACACUACACUCUACAACACAAAUUCAAGUGCAGGGGCAGAUUUCCUUGCCCCUUUUGUAACAAUCACAAUAGGUACUAUCAUGCUUUCAUUUCAAAAUUAGCUUUAAUGUUGAAAAUUCGAGGUUCCUGAAUAACAAUGGAAUGUUUUUACUGAUCGGCUCUAAUGGUCUAUAUCCUUAACUUACUGAUUGUCUUCGAGUAUGAUGUAAAGACUUGAUUGAAUAGUACAGUGAAGGAUGUUUGCUAAAAUAAAUGAAUAGUAGACCUAUUUGCUUGAGGGAAGUGUUGAUACAUAUACGGAUUAAUUAAGAUUGGAGCUCUAUUGAUUAACUUCGAUUCUUGAAUCUAAACUUAGUGCAACAUUCUAAUAAAGAUACUCCUUUGAUUAUGAAUGAAGAAUGACAAUUAUAUUUCUAUAUAGCACUCUAAAAGUCUUAUCACCAUUUUGUCUGUUGAAUUUGUUUUCUCCAUUGUUUUUAAAUCACACAAUCUCUUGUGUCUUUCAUGUUGGCUACUGAGAGAGAACCAGUUAACUAUUGUUAACUAAUACUGAUUCUCACCUUAUCUUCUACUACUACUAAUCAUGGUAAAAAAAAUGUAGUUUGGUGUACACAUUAGGUGUCGGUAACUUUUUUCCUUCAAACUAUUCCAGCGAAGAAGGCAAGUGUUAGAGCAACAGUAAAAUUGUCUCUAUCUGACCUAUGGUCACUGGUUCAAGUCAUGGGAUCAACCAUUUAUUCUUGUGUCAAGGUUCAACUCAAAAGCUAAGUUGGACAAACAUCUCAAUCUUGAAUAUUCAUCUUCUGCAAUCAUUUUGUGCCUCACUUCGGAGUGUACCUUAAUUUUUUCUCCAUUCUUGCACCAGACUGUUCUAUUAUUUAUGGUGAGUUUCGUUUGAAUUUUGUUUCCUCUUUUGUGUUUGUAUUGUAUCGACUAAUAUUGCACAUGUAGAGCUAUUUCUUCGUA